AUCUUUAUCACUCGUCCUUUCCCUCUCAACAUCACAGCCGACCUUGCACUCUCUAUGUCCCUUUUCCCCUUCCAUUCUGGUUUCAGUUAUUAUCUCAGGCGUCAAUCAACUUGUCAACCAACAGUUUCGGAGUUGUGUCGUCGUCUGAAUCGCCUCAUUGUCACUGAACUUGCCGUUUGGAAAUUUUAUCCCAUCAUUCUCCUUUCUAAGGUCUAUCUUGACACAUCUAUGUACAGGUUUUUUCUGCUUUUGGUUUUGUUCACAAGGUAGCCACUUUUGAGAAGGCUGCUGGUUUCCAGAUACGCAUAUAUGUGAUGUGGAUGGAAGGAAUUUUGUUUUUAGUAGGGUCCUCUGGGGAAUUUUGUUAUGUUAUGCACAUCGGUCUACCAAAAUAACCAGUACCUGACAACUUUGCUCAUCUCUAAGUUGCAGGGAUAUGCAUACAUGUGAUGUGGAUGGAGGAAUUCUGUUUUUAGUAGGGCCUCUGGGGAAUUUUGUUUUGUUAUGCACAUCGGUCAGUCCAAAUACCCACCACCCAGCAACUUUUCUCAUCUAUAAAUUGCAUGGGUGUCACCACUCUAUUCGUUGAGGCCAUCACAAGUGGUUUCCGUCUCAAAUCGGCCAAAAAAAAGGGGAUUACGUCAAACUACGUUCUCCACGUGUUGCGUUUACAUGAGAUAACGUAAAAUUUUCCUGACAUCACGCCGUCAGCAUUAAAUUUUUCGCAGAUUUUAUUUUUUAAACGAAUAAAAUCUUCGUUUGUACCAACACAGAUUUAUUUGUUUACCUAAUGCCGACAGGUUUAAUUCUUCUUUAUACCGCAUCAAAUAAAAACCAUUUUUUUAUUCUCAGAUUUUUUCAAAAUUGAAUUUUAAUGACAAAAGAGCCCUCCAGGUGUCACCACUCUAUUCGAUGAGGCCAUCACAAGUGGUUUCCGUCACGAAUAAACGUGUUUUGACUAUUGGACAUUGGUUCUAAGUAAUAGGUCAAAAGUUUGAAGAUUUAGGAGCCACUUAGGUUCACUAACUACUAAUAUUGUAUGGUUAGACUUUAGUUAACUGUUUUAAAUAAUGGUCAGUUCCUUACGAAGAUUGGGGAUUUCUGAAUAGCAAAGGAAAAAUAUGUCCAGUGCAGUAAAAGAUGUUUGUCAAUCUGUUGUGUUAUUGUAAUUUUGGGAGGACAAAUUUGAAGUAUACUGGAACAAAUGGUACUCUCAGAACCCUGUUAUUUAUUUUAAUAAACUUGAAUGACUCUUAGUGGAGGUAAUCAAAUGUAUGUUGUUCAAUUGUAGUGUCUGGGGAAUUCUUUCAUAAAAUGGUCAUACAGGCUACCCAGAUGGUGACUCGGAAUUUUAGCUUGUCAUUCUGGAUGAUGCAAAGGCAAGGCAAGUUUGGAAGAUUGAUCAAAUUUUAAAAAAUUUGCUCAUUUUUAUAAUUUGUUUUGGAACCAUUUAAGAUUUGGAAGGUAAAAUACCAGUUAGACCCUCCCUUUGGAGAUUAGUAGAGCCUCAUAAACUUUAUAUCCGUGUCAUCUUAUUCCCUUUAUUUUGUAUUUUCUUUUCUGGUUCUUAUGAGGAUAUUGUCAUCAUCUAGUAGAGAGAGAGAGAGAUGAAGCACAACGUUGUUUGCUGCACACUCUAGUGAGUUAUGUAUACAAUCUAUGAUAUGAACAGACUACCAAUUUUGGAGCUUUUAGAGUUGUCUUAAUUUAAAUCAAAUCUUCAGUUUGUCGGAGA